rnacentral:rRNA from 1 species
AACGCUGGCGGCGCGCCUAACACAUGCAAGUCGAGCGAGAACCGGACCUUCGGGUCCGGGGACAGCGGCGAACGGGUGAGUAACACGUGGGCAACCUGCCCUCGGCACUGGGAUAGCCCGGGGAAACCCGGAUUAAUACCGGAUAGCCUCCGGAGCCUUCGGGCGCCGGAAGAAAGGUGGCUUCGGCAUCUGGCCGAGGAGGGGCCCGCGGCGGAUUAGCUUGUUGGUGGGGUAAUGGCCUACCAAGGCGACGAUCCGUAGCUGGUCUGGGAGGACGAUCAGCCACACUGGGACUGAGACACGGCCCAGACUCCUACGGGAGGCAGCAGUGGGGAAUCUUGCGCAAUGGGCGAAAGCCUGACGCAGCAACGCCGCGUGUGUGAUGAAGGUCUUCGGAUCGUAAAGCACUGUCGCGAGGGAAGAUACGCCGAUGGCUAACAUCCGUCGGCUGAGACGGUACCUCGAGAGGAAGCACCGGCUAACUCUGUGCCAGCAGCCGCGGUAAGAC